rnacentral:snoRNA from 1 species
AGGCCAUGGUGUGGACAUUAUCAGAGCAAAUCUUUAUACCUCUCCCAUGCUUCAUAUAAAGACUCAAAAUCCAGCUGCGUAAAAGAAGUGAUGCCGUUUCUCAUCUU